GGUGGUCGGAGUUGGUUUAUCUAACAGGCACCGGCACGGCGGCACCUCUUGUCAACCUCUCCAUGACACCGAGCGGCUUCAGUUUAUCAACAGCAUAAGAAAAGGUCCUCUUGGUGCUCAUAUCAAACGUGUCAUUGAACUCUUAUUUGAGACAAGGCAAGCCUUUACACCAGAGCAAAUAAACGGAAGUUGUUAUGUUAUUAUCCUUUCCAACAAGGUUGUUUUGAUUGUUUGAGGAACAGCGUAUGAUGGGAGGAGGUUCUCAUACAAGAUAAUGCUUUGAUCAUUUAUUCAAAUCAGUAAAGCAGCUCAACCGGUAAUCAAGGAUACAAUUGUAUUUUGUUUCUUUUGUCUGUCUCUCCAUCUGAUUUUUCCUUCUCAUGUUACAAUCGUUGGCUAAAGUCAAGUUUUUCAGAAAGGCAAGUAAAAAAAUGGUGUUACGCAUCUGAGUUUGUUUGAUAUAGUUAUCAUGGUUGACCUGUAAUGUCUUCUCAUGCUUCAGGAGUAUAGGGCUAAGCUGUAUAAGCUGAAAAUAAAUGAGAAAAGAGUUGGACGAUAUACUGCAGCCGCCUGUAGGGCUGAAGUGGCUAAGCUG